AACACUAUUCACACCCCUGACUUUCUCACAUUUUGUUAUCUGACAGACAAACGUUCAUGUAUCGUAUCAGCAUUUUGCGAGAAGUGGUUAGGUUUAUGAAACAGUAUCCCAAGAUGUGACGAUCACACACACUGUUCAAUC